ensembl:lncRNA novel transcript
AUGAUGGAGACGCCGCUCCCCAAAGCACCAGAGAAAAGGCAAGUGACCGCCAUUAUUUUCUUAUUACUACUGUGGGAGGCGGGCAGCGCUACGAUUAAGUAUUCAGUUCUAGAAGAGAGGGACAGCGGCUCUUUUGUGGCCAACUUAGCAAAAGAUCUGGGGCUGGGUGUAGGGGAACUGGCCGCGAGAGGCGCCCGGAUUCUUUCCAAAGGGAACAAACAGUAUUUGCAGCUCGAACGGAAGAGUGGGAAUUUGCUCCUAAAAGAAAAAUUGGACCGGGAAGAGUUGUGCGGUGACAUAGAUCCAUGUAUACUACAUUUCCAGAUGUUACUGAAAAAUCCGGUGCAGUUUAUUCAAGGUGAACUACAGCUCCAAGAUGUAAAUGACCAUGCCCCAGAAUUCUUGGAAAAUGAAAUCCUCCUGAAAAUCUCCGAAGGCAGCCAUCCAGGGACUUCAUUUCCUUUGAAAAUAGCUCAAGAUUUGGACGUAGGUAGCAACACAGUUCAGAACUACUCAAUUAGCACCAACUCCUAUUUCCACCUUUUCACUCGCAAUCACAGCGACGGCAAGAAAUACCCAGAGCUCGUGCUGGAUCAAGCGCUGGACCGCGAGGAGCAGCCCCAGCUCAGGUUAACCCUCACAGCGCUGGAUGGUGGGUCACCGCCCAGAACUGGGACUUCCCAGGUUCUCAUAGUGAUUGUAGAUAUCAAUGACAACGUCCCUGAAUUUGCUCAGCGGCGCUACGAGGUGCAGGUCCCAGAGAACACCCCUAUAGGUUCCCUUGUCAUCACCGUCUCUGCCAGGGAUUUAGAUGCUGGGACCCACGGGGAGCUCUCCUAUUCAUUUUUUCAAUACUCCAAUCAAAUCAUUCAGGCCUUUGAAAUAAACUCAAUCACGGGAGAAAUUAGAUUUAAAAAGGCGUUGGAUUUUGAGGAAAUUCAAUCUUAUCACAUGGAAGUUGAGGCCUCAGACGGUGGGGGUCUUUCAGGAAAAUGCACCGUAGCCAUAGAGGUAAUGGAUAUAAACGACAACGCACCGGAACUUACUAUGUCCUUACUUAUCAGUGAUAUCCUAGAAAACUCCCCAGAAACAGUGGUCGCUGUUUUCGGAAUUUCGGAUCCGGACUCCGGGAACAAUGGAAAAAUGAUGUGUUCCAUCCAAGACCAUCUCCCUUUCCUUCUAAAACCUACCUUAGAAAAUUUCUACACUUUGUUAACAGAAGGAGCGCUAGACAGAGAGAGCAGGGCCGAGUACAACAUCACCAUUACUGUCACAGACUUGGGGACACCCAGGCUGAAAACCGAGUACAACAUAACCCUGCGGGUCUCCGACGUCAAUGACAACGCCCCCGCCUUCACCCAAACCUCCUACACCCUGUUCGUCCGCGAGAACAACAGCCCCGCCCUGCACAUCGGCAGUGUCAGCGCCACAGACAGAGACUCAGGCACCAACGCUCAGGUCACCUACUCGCUGCUGCCGCCCCAGAACCCGCACCUGCCCCUCGCCUCCCUGGUCUCCAUCAACACAGACAACGGCCACCUGUUUGCCCUCAGGUCGCUGGACUACGAGGCCCUGCAGGAGUUCGAGUUCCGCGUGGGCGCCUCAGACCGCGGUUCUCCGGCUUUGAGCAGCGAGGCGCUGGUGCGCGUGCUGGUGUGCUGGACGCCAACGACAACUCGCCCUUCGUGCUGUACCCGCUGCAGAACGGCUCCGCGCCCUGCACCGAGCUGGUGCCCCGGGCGGCCGAGCCGGGCUACCUGGUGACCAAGGUGGUGGCGGUGGACGGUGACUCGGGCCAGAACGCCUGGCUGUCGUACCAGCUGCUCAAGGCCACGGAGCCCGGGCUAUUCGGCGUGUGGGCGCACAAUGGCGAGGUGCGCACCGCCAGGCUGCUGAGCGAGCGCGACGCGGCCAAGCACAGGCUGGUGGUGCUGGUCAAGGACAAUGGCGAGCCUCCGCGCUCGGCCACCGCCACGCUGCACGUGCUCCUGGUGGACGGCUUCUCCCAGCCCUACCUGCCUCUCCCUGAGGCGGCCCCGGCCCAGGCCCAGGCCGACUCGCUCACCGUCUACCUGGUGGUGGCGUUGGCUUCGGUGUCUUCGCUCUUCCUCUUCUCGGUGCUCCUGUUCGUGGCGGUGCGGCUGUGCAGAAGGAGCAGGGCGGCCUCGGUGGGUCGCUACUCGGUGCCCGAGGGCCCCUUUCCAGGGCAUCUGGUGGACGUGAGUGGCACCAGGACCCUGUCCCAGAAUUAUCAGUAUGAAGUUUACCUGGCAGAAAGCUCUGAGAGCCAGUUAAAGUUUCUUAAACCGGUACUUCCCAACUUCUUGGGUGAAGGGACUGGUGGGGACAGCGAGGCAAACUCCAACUCUAGGAAUCAUUUUGGGUUCAAUUAGGAAUCUGACAACAGGUCGUGAUAAAUCAUAGAAUUCACUAUUCAUCUGUAAGUUCCCAAUUCUCUCAUUCGCGUAGAGUCACAUAUUCACACAUUAGUAAUGGCUGUCAUAUUUAUAGCUAUUUCAACCUGCUGGACUAUUUUCCAUUCCCUUUAAUUUUUGUUGUGGUGGUUGUCAGCUAUGUUAGUUACAGCAUGUGCACACAAUAGCAGAGAAAUGGUGUUUCCUAUGGUUGUUGUUUUUGUUUGGUCAGAUUUUGGAACUCACAGGUGUUUUCAGGUUCCCAGUAUUUGAACUUGUUCAUUGAUAUGUUAUGAUUAAGAGAAUAGUGUUUCAAACUUUCUGGUUAUCAUCAGCAUGACUCUAAGUCUAUCGUAAAUCACAGCUUUUAGCCUAAAAAAUAAUUUUCAUUUAUGCAAAAAUUUUAGUAAUCUUGUAAAUUGUUGCACUUCUGUUGUGUUGUUUCAAAAACACUACUCUUCCCUCAAAUGAACCAAUAUUUUACCUAGGUGAUGUUUUCUCUCCUGAAUUUCUUUUUUCAAAAUUGAUAUUUAUAGACCAUCGGCUGUUAUUCUAAAGGAUUCAACUCCUGUUACAUGAAAGAAUAAUAGAAAAAAGGUUGGUUGACUUGUGAUUGCUUUUUUUUUAAUAAUAAAUGGCUUUGGUAUGUAAA